rnacentral:tRNA from 1 species
UCCUUGUUAGUAUAUCGGCUAGUACGCCCGCUUGUCAAGAACUUCUGGUUUCAGACUUUCCGCGGGAGAGCUGGGUUCAACUCCCAGACAGGGAG